CCUACGGGAGGCUGCAGUGGGGAAUAUUGCACAAUGGGCGAAAGCCUGAUGCAGCGACGCCGCGUGAGCGAAGAAGUAUUUCGGUAUGUAAAGCUCUAUCAGCAGGGAAGAUAAUGACGGUACCUGACUAAGAAGCACCGGCUAAAUACGUGCCAGCAGCCGCGGUAAUACGUAUGGUGCAAGCGUUAUCCGGAUUUACUGGGUGUAAAGGGAGCGUAGACGGCAUGGCAAGCCAGAUGUGAAAGCCCGGGGCUCAACCCCGGGACUGCAUUUGGAACUGUCAGGCUAGAGUGUCGGAGAGGAAAGCGGAAUUCCUAGUGUAGCGGUGAAAUGCGUAGAUAUUAGGAGGAACAUCAGUGGCGAAGGCGGCUUACUGGACUGAAACUGACACUGAGGCACGAAAGCGUGGGGAGCAAACAGGAUU
rnacentral:rRNA from 1 species